rfam:Populus trichocarpa scaffold_19_contig_502, whole genome shotgun sequence.
UAAUCUAUCUAGAGCAGAUCCUUAUCUAAUUAUGACAGACCCACACCUGACUGCUCAACUCACCCGUUAUUGUAGGUUCGAUAACAUCAUUUAGUUUUUAAGAGAGUUUUUAGUGGGGUCUAUAUAAAACUAUGAUAUAUGUUGAUUAACUAAACA